AUUCCAGUCGAUCCUGCUGGAGGAUACUGCUAUCAGAAUUCGGCUAAGCCAUGCAAGUCAGCUCUCCCACCUGGGAGGGCGGCGAACGGCUCAUUAGCGCGUAGUCAAUCUACCCCGGGGACGUGGAUAAACACGGGAAACUGUGUGUAACCCGCGAUGGUCCAUCGAUGCUGGAAUGCUUGAUGGGCAAAACCGUGUGAGGAAUUGGACUCAUAUGGCCCCAGGAUGAGACUGCGUCUGAUUAGGUAGUUGGUGGGGUAACGGCCCACCAAGCCAAUAAUCAGUGGGGGCAUUGGGAGAUGGAGCCCCGAGAAGGGCACUGAGACAAGGGCCCUAGUCCUACGGGAUGCAGCAGGCACGAAAACUCUGCAAUGCGCGAAAGCGUGACAGGGGAAUUCUGAGUGGUAGGCUUUUAGCCUAUCUUUUGGCUAGACUAAAUAUCUAGCAGAAUAAGUUCCGGGCAAGACCAGUGCCAGCCGCCGCGGUAACACUGGCGGAGCGAGUGGUAUCCACGAAUAUUGGGCUUAAAGAGUCCGUAGCUGGCCUCUUAAGUUUCCUGUGAAAUCUCCGGGCUCAACUCGGAGGCGUGCAGGGAAUACUGGGAGGCUUGAGAGCGGGGGAGGUCAGGAGUAUUUUCGGGGUAGGAGUAAAAUCCUGUAAUCCUGAAAGGACUACCAGUGGCGAAGGCGCCUGACCAAAACGCGUCUGACAGUGAGGGACGAAGGCUAGGAGAACGAAUCGGAUUAGAUACCCGAGUAGCCCUAGCAGUAAAUUAUGCAGACUGUGGUGUUGCGUUGGCCUCGAGCCAAUGCAGUGCCGUAGCGUAGGUGUUUAGUCUGCCACCUGGGGAGUACGGCCGCAAGGUUGAAACUUAAAGGAAUUGGCGGGGGAGCACCACAAGGGGUGGAGGCUGCGGUUCAAUUGGAUUCAACGCCGGGAAUAUUACCAAGAGCGACGGCAGGAUGAAGGCCAGACUAAAGAUCUUGCCUGACGAGCCGAGAGGUGGUGCAUGGCCAUCGUCAGCUCGUGGUGUGAACUGUCCGGUUAAGUCCGGCAAACCUCACGAACCCAUUUUAAUCAUAACUGAGAGGGAAACGCAUGAAAGUGAAACUGAGCAGCGGGCUUGCAUAUGUGAUAGGCCUGUGGAAGGCAAGGAGGACGCGCGAGGGCAUUGGCAUUGUUGGAAAUUCCCAGAUACAGGAAAUUUUCAUCAAGUGCCUGCUCGACGAGAAAAUCGCGCCGCCUGAAAAAAUCAGGCUGCAGGGCGAGAGCGUCAUCUUCCAUCACGGCGCCUACCGCGAGUUCUUCAGGGAAUUCGCGCGCGAGCCUCACGAGCGGCUGAAACGCCGCAACGAGAAGAGCGCCGCGUAUUU
rnacentral:rRNA from 1 species